GAGGUGUCCUGCAGGUCACCAGGAUCGAACAGCUGAGAUUCCUUAAGUCCCAGCUCCUUGCAGCCUCUUAAGAAUAAGAUGAUAUUAUCCAAACCUGCAAUGGGGGUUGGUAGUCUAUUGAUCUUUUUGACCAAUCCUGGCUUUAUUGCAUUCAGCAACUCACACAGAAGAAUGCCGUUUUCUAAUCCAGAACGAAAGUCCUUCUCACCAAAACUUCUGCCAGUCACUUGCUCGAUCCACUUCUGCGCCUCGCCGAAGGCCGGCUCGGGCUGCGGGGAGUCGGGCGGGGGCUGCGCUUCUCCCAGCUCCAGCGCGGGGCUGGCCAUCGGGGAGCCGCGAGGAGCGCCGAGCCGCCGGCCGGGGAGCGCCGCAGCCUGUGCCGCUGCCUGCCGCGGCGGGGCCGGGCG
rnacentral:lncRNA from 1 species